rnacentral:lncRNA from 1 species
GUUGCAUUUAGUUUUUUAUGCUCUUCAUCAACAUCCAACAUCAGCACUUUUUGGCUUUUGUGAUUCAGUAAAAAUUCUUCUGACUGAGCUUUGACUCGCACAAUGAAAACAGUGUGUGUUCUUAGGACAGAUGAUGCUGACAAACAACCUGAGAAGAAGAGAAGAGAGCAGCACAGGCACGUUCACUUCCUGCCAACUGAAUGAAACAGCACCUAAUAGCAGAAGAGAAGACCUUUUCAGGAGACAAGGAGACCCGGUGAGGAGACAAGGGAGCUGAAUCUGUGCUGGAUUCACACGCAGAUGUUUUAUUUUGCUGUUCUUUAGGACAGCAGCAUCAUGGGCAAAAGAUGAAUCUCCAGCGGUUGGUCGACUACAAGCACUUGAGUGAUUCUGCUGUGGUACAGGAUGUCUCCCAGCAGACCCAGUGAUUCCCACUGCUGCCUAUGUCUCCUGAUGAAUGUGAAAAGCUUAGGAUGGAAGACCCACCAAGUGCUGCUCUGAGACACCAACAACACUCUCCAACACAUCAACCUCACUUAUUAUCUCUCCUCUGCACACGCUGGUAAAACCAGCCGCUUCAACGCCAUCACUAACCAG